ensembl:snoRNA SNORD15 Small nucleolar RNA SNORD15
CUUCAGUGAUGAGACGAUGACGAGUCGGAAUGGGACACGGUCUGUCUCUGGGGGUCACUGGGUCGGGGUCACGUUCUGUGGCUCUGGUUUCAGGUCCCCAGAGCAGUGUGUCUUUUCACUUGAAGACAUCGAGGCAUUUGUCUGAGAAGG